GCGUUCAGGUGUCCGCCCUGUCGGCGGAUGAAAAGGGAAUUCGGUGAGAAUCCGAAACGAUGUCGUCACUGUGUACCGGAGCUGCAUCCACGCGUCACUGGGAAACCGGGAAGAGGAUUGCAUGCGAUGAAGGAAGUCAGGAGACCUGCCUGAAUG
rnacentral:ncRNA from 1 species